rnacentral:rRNA from 1 species
CAGUAGCCGCGGUAAUACGGAGGAUCCAAGCGUUAUCCGGAAUCAUUGGGUUUAAAGGGUCCGUAGGCGGUCUUGUAAGUCAGUGGUGAAAGCCCAUCGCUCAACGGUGGAACGGCCAUUGAUACUGCAGGACUUGAAUUAUUGGGAAGUAACUAGAAUAUGUAGUGUAGCGGUGAAAUGCUUAGAGAUUACAUGGAAUACCAAUUGCGAAGGCAGGUUACUACCAAUUGAUUGACGCUGAUGGACGAAAGCGUGGGUAGCGAACAGGAUUAGAGACCCCAGUAGUCCCUGUCUCUUAUAC